GGAGAUAUGGCUCAGUGGUUAAGAGCACUGACAGCUCUUCCAGAGGUCCUGAGUUCAAAUCCCAGCAACUACA
rnacentral:tRNA from 1 species